rnacentral:rRNA from 1 species
UAGGGAAUCUUCCACAAUGGACGCACGUCUGAUGGAGCAACGCCGCGUGAGUGAGGAAGGUUUUCGGAUCGUAAAGCUCUGUUGUUGGUGAAGAAGGAUAGAGGCAGUAACUGGUCUUUAUUUGACGGUAAUCAACCAGAAAGUCACGGCUAACUACGUGCCAGCAGCCGCGGUAAUACGUAGGUGGCAAGCGUUGUCCGGAUUUAUUGGGCGUAAAGCGAGCGCAGGCGGAAUGAUAAGUCUGAUGUGAAAGCCCACGGCUCAACCGUGGAACUGCAUCGGAAACUGUCAUUCUUGAGUGCAGAAGAGGAGAGUGGAAUUCCAUGUGUAGCGGUGGAAUGCGUAGAUAUAUGGAAGAACACCAGUGGCGAAGGCGGCUCUCUGGUCUGCAACUGACGCUGAGGCUCGAAAGCAUGGGUAGCGAACAGG